rnacentral:rRNA from 1 species
UGGCGGCGUGCCUAAUACAUGCAAGUCGAACGAGUUCUGAUUAUUGAAAGGUGCUUGCAUCUUGAUUUAAUUUUGAACGAGUGGCGGACGGGUGAGUAACACGUGGGUAACCUGCCCUUAAGUGGGGGAUAACAUUUGGAAACAGAUGCUAAUACCGCAUAAAUCCAAGAACCGCAUGGUUCUUGGCUGAAAGAUGGCGUAAGCUAUCGCUUUUGGAUGGACCCGCGGCGUAUUAGCUAGUUGGUGAGGUAACGGCUCACCAAGGCAAUGAUACGUAGCCGAACUGAGAGGUUGAUCGGCCACAUUGGGACUGAGACACGGCCCAAACUCCUACGGGAGGCAGCAGUAGGGAAUCUUCCACAAUGGACGCAAGUCUGAUGGAGCAACGCCGCGUGAGUGAAGAAGGCUUUCGGGUCGUAAAACUCUGUUGUUGGAGAAGAAUGGUCGGCAGAGUAACUGUUGUCGGCGUGACGGUAUCCAACCAGAAAGCCACGGCUAACUACGUGCCAGCAGCCGCGGUAAUACGUAGGUGGCAAGCGUUAUCCGGAUUUAUUGGGCGUAAAGCGAGCGCAGGCGGUUUUUUAAGUCUGAUGUGAAAGCCCUCGGCUUAACCGAGGAAGUGCAUCGGAAACUGGGAAACUUGAGUGCAGAAGAGGACAGUGGAACUCCAUGUGUAGCGGUGAAAUGCGUAGAUAUAUGGAAGAACACCAGUGGCGAAGGCGGCUGUCUGGUCUGUAACUGACGCUGAGGCUCGAAAGCAUGGGUAGCGAACAGGAUUAGAUACCCUGGUAGUCCAUGCCGUAAACGAUGAAUGCUAGGUGUUGGAGGGUUUCCGCCCUUCAGUGCCGCAGCUAACGCAUUAAGCAUUCCGCCUGGGGAGUACGACCGCAAGGUUGAAACUCAAAGGAAUUGACGGGGGCCCGCACAAGCGGUGGAGCAUGUGGUUUAAUUCGAAGCAACGCGAAGAACCUUACCAGGUCUUGACAUCUUUUGAUCACCUGAGAGAUCAGGUUUCCCCUUCGGGGGCAAAAUGACAGGUGGUGCAUGGUUGUCGUCAGCUCGUGUCGUGAGAUGUUGGGUUAAGUCCCGCAACGAGCGCAACCCUUAUGACUAGUUGCCAGCAUUUAGUUGGGCACUCUAGUAAGACUGCCGGUGACAAACCGGAGGAAGGUGGGGAUGACGUCAAAUCAUCAUGCCCCUUAUGACCUGGGCUACACGCGUGCUACAAUGGAUGGUACAACGAGUUGCGAGACCGCGAGGUCAAGCUAAUCUCUUAAAGCCAUUCUCAGUUCGGACUGUAGGCUGCAACUCGCCUACACGAAGUCGGAGUCGCUAGUAAUCGCGGAUCAGCACGCCGCGGUGAAUACGUUCCCGGGCCUUGUACACACCGCCCGUCACACCAUGAGAGUUUGUAACACCCGAAGCCGGUGGCGUAACCCUUUUAGGGAGCGAGCCGUCUAAGGUGGGACAAAUGAUUAGGGUGAAGUC